AGCUCUAAAUUAUCUCCCUAACUGGACAUUGUGCAUUGUUUAGAAAUUAAACAUGAAUUUUAAGAUAAGCAAAUGAAGGCCUUUUGUGAUUGUAAUAUGUCCAGACCACUUCAAUUGGUUCUCCAUGGUACAGUAGAAAGCUCAUCCCUUACUAGAAAAAAAUCCACAAAAGGAAAAUCACAUGAACUUUGAUGAUGGUGAUUUGGAACUUCUGGAGAUUCAUCACAUUUCAUGAGCAAGAGUCUUUGACUUUAUGGUGAUAUGGUCCCUUUUCUCAAUU
rnacentral:misc_RNA from 1 species